rnacentral:rRNA from 1 species
CCUACGGGCGGCUGCAGUGGGGAAUAUUGGACAAUGGGCGAAAGCCUGAUCCAGCCAUGCCGCGUGUGUGAAGAAGGCCUUCGGGUUGUAAAGCACUUUCAGUGGGGAAGAAAGCCUUGGGGCUAAUACCCUCGAGGAAGGACAUCACCCACAGAAGAAGCACCGGCUAACUCCGUGCCAGCAGCCGCGGUAAUACGGAGGGUGCGAGCGUUAAUCGGAAUUACUGGGCGUAAAGCGCGCGUAGGCGGUCUGAUAAGCCGGUUGUGAAAGCCCCGGGCUCAACCUGGGAACGGCAUCCGGAACUGUCAGGCUAGAGUGCAGGAGAGGAAGGUAGAAUUCCCUGUGUAGCGGUGAAAUGCGUAGAGAUCGGGAGGAAUACCAGUGGCGAAGGCGGCCUUCUGGACUGACACUGACGCUGAGGUGCGAAAGCGUGGGUAGCAAACAGGAUUAGAUACCCGAGUAGUC